rnacentral:rRNA from 1 species
GACAGAGGGGGCAAGCGUUGCUCGGAAUUACUGGGCGUAAAGGGCGCGUAGGCGGGAUGGCAAGUCGGUCGUGAAAUCCCUCGGCUCAACCGAGGAACGUCGAUCGAUACUGCUGUUCUUGAGGAUGCAGAGGAGACUGGAAUUCCCGGUGUAGCGGUGAAAUGUGUAGAGAUCGGGAGGAACGACCGGUGGCGAAGGCGGGUCUCUGGGCCGAUACUGGACGCUGAGGAGCGAAAGCGUGGGGAGCAAACGGG